rnacentral:rRNA from 1 species
AGAAUGUGGGAGAGGCAGAUGGAAUUUCUGGUGUAGGGGUAAAAUCCGUAGAGAUCAGAAGGAAUACCGAUUGCGAAGGCGAUCUGCUGGAACAUUAUUGACGCUGAGACGCGAAAGCGUGGGGAGCAAACAGGAUUAGAUACCCUGGUAGUCCACGCCCUAAACGAUGUACACUAGUUGUUGUGAGGCUCGACCUUGCAGUAAUGCAGUUAACACAUUAAGUGUACCGCCUGGGGAGUACGGUCGCAAGAUUAAAACUCAAAGGAAUAGACGGGGACCCGCACAAGCGGUGGAGCAUGUGGUUUAAUUCGACUAUACACGAAGAACCUUACCUGGACUUGACAUAGUAAGAACUUUCUAGAGAUAGAUUGGUGUCUGCUUGCAGAAACUUAUAUACAGGUGCUGCACGGCUGUCGUCAGCUCGUGUCGUGAGAUGUUGGGUUAAGUCCCGCAACGAGCGCAACCCUCGUCCUUAGUUGCUAACAGUUCGGCUGAGAACUCUAAGGAGACUGCCUACGCAAGUAGGAGGAAGGUGAGGACGACGUCAAGUCAUCAUGGCCCUUACGUCCAGGGCUACACACGUGCUACAAUGGGGUAUACAAAGAGCAGCAAUACGGUGACGUGGAGCAAAUCUCAAAAAUAUCUCCCAGUUCGGAUUGUAGUCUGCAACUCGACUACAUGAAGUUGGAAUCGCUAGUAAUCGUAGAUCAGCUAUGCUACGGUGAAUACGUUCCCGGGUCUUGUACUCACCGCCCGUCACACCAUGGGAGUUGAACUCAUUCGAAGCGGGGAUGCUAAAGUAGCUACCUUCCACAGUGGAUUCAGCGACUGGGGUGAAGUCGUAACAAGGUAACCGUAGUAAUAUCGUGACUGG